rnacentral:rRNA from 1 species
CCUACGAGUGGCAGCAGUGGGGAAUAUUGGGCAAUGGGCGCAAGCCUGACCCAGCAAUGCCGCGUGAAGGAAGAAGGCUUUCGGGUUGUAAACUUCUUUGACAGGGGAAGAGCAGAAGACGGUACCCUGAAAACAAGCCACGGCUAACUACGUGCCAGCAGCCGCGGUAAUACGGAGGUGGCAAGCGUUGUCCGGAUGUACUGGGUGUAAAGGGCGUGUAGCCGGGAAGGCAAGUCAGAUGUGAAAUCUGGAGGCUCAACCUCCAAAUUGCAUUUGAAACUGUUUUUCUUGAGUACUGGGGAGGCAGACGGAAUUCCUUGUGUAGCGGUGAAAUGCGUAGAUAUAAGGAGGAACACCAGUGGCGAAGGCGGUCUGCUGGACAGCCACUGACGGUGAGGCGCGAAAGCGUGGGGAGCAAACAGGAUUAGAUACCCUUGUAGUC